GAUGAACGCUAGCGACAGGCCUAACACAUGCAAGUCGAGGGGCAACAGGGAAUAAGCUUGCUUAUUCUGCUGGCGACCGGCGCACGGGUGAGUAACACGUAUGCAACCUGCCCGUCACAAGGGGAUAACCGAGGGAAACUUCGCCUAAUACCCUAUAUAAUCAUUUAAUUGCAUGAUUGAGUGAUGAAAGAUUUAUCGGUGACGGAUGGGCAUGCGGUGCAUUAGCUAGUUGGUGAGGUAACGGCUCACCAAGGCGACGAUGCAUAGGGGUUCUGAGAGGAAGGACCCCCGCACUGGUACUGAGAAACGGACCAGACUCCUACGGGAGGCAGCAAGGAGGAAUAUUGGUCAAUGGGCGAGAGCCUGAACCAGCCAAGUCGCGUGAGGGAAGACGGCCCUACGGGUUGUAAACCUCUUUAGUCUGGGAGCAAAAAGUGGGAUGUAUCCUAUAUUGAGCGUACCAGAAGAAUAAGCAUCGGCUAACUCCGUGCCAGCAGCCGCCGUAAGAC
rnacentral:rRNA from 1 species